AAAGACAUGUUUAAACUAUAGUGCUGUCAAAUUGUUUUUUUGAGUCAGAUUAAUUACACUUUUGAACUUUGCUUAAUCAUGUUUAAUCACAAGUUUUUACUUUCUGGCAUAGUUCAAAAUAACCUAAAAAGAGCCCACAUUUUGGAAAGGAAUGCAAUUUUAUUGUUAGAAUAUCAUCCAGGAACUUUUUUUUUUUAUAUUUUACUCAAAUGCAAGUAAUUUAUUUGCUCAAAACUUGCUAACAGUUUUAUCAAAGUCCCACUAAGGUUUAUUUUGAAAUGUGAUUUGUCCGGUAGCACGCAUGUCUUAGUCUCUUCACUCAUCUUUGCACUAAGUUACGCAUUGACCUUAUGACAGACUAUAACAUGAACCAUUGAAAAACGUAUUCGGGUGUUACCGUUUAGUGGUCAAUUGUACGGUAUAUGUAUCGAACUGUGGAAUCUACUAAUAAAAGUUUCAAUCAUUAAAAAAACAAACCCGGUAAAGGGGCAUGUGCAGUCAAAAUGAAUGCGUGAUUAAAGGCCUACUGAAAUUAGAUUUUCUUAUUCAAGCGUGGAUAGCAGGUCCAUUCUAUGUGUCAUACUUGAUCAUGUCACGAUAUUGCCAUAUUUUUGCUGAAAAGAUUUAGCUUUUAAAUACACCAAGAGUGCAACUGGACACAUCCUCAGUGAUGUAACCUAGGAUCACAGGGGGUUUCGGGUCUUUCAACAAUCAGGCCCCCUCCCCUAGGCGACCCAGCCAGGGUUGAUCAGGCCCCAGCCUGUGUCCUGGUAGCGCUACUGCCCUACAUGCCACGCCUCUCCCCUCCUGAUCCACAGCCACCUUGAUGCCACUUCUGCUGCAUCUGUGACCAACUUCAUGGCCCUUUGCUGGCUGGCCCCUGUGAUGCCAAGCAUUCUGUAGGCCCUGCAGAGAGAUUUGCCCACAAACCCUCGACAUCCCUCUUCAACAGGCCGGCACAUCGCUCGCCACCCAUUGCUCCGACACUCCUCCACAAGCUGAGAGUACUUUGCGCUCUUCCUCUCAUUGGCCUCCUCCAUACGGUCCUCCCAAGGCACUGAGCUCCAAGAGGAUUACCUGCUUGGAGGCCACUGAGAUCAACUGACAGCUCCCAGUCGCGUGCUGUUGCCAACAGACCAGACGAGGUGUUCCGGGCAGCCGGUGUUGACUUCUCCCCAGCUCUGAUGAAAGCAGUACUCUUCACUGGGCGGAGGCUCUUGCUGUGACUGACUCCCCUGCAGAUGGCAUCAGCUAUGGCCUUCAGGACCUGGUCAUGUCGCCAGCGGUACCGCCCUUCACCCAGCGCUUUUGGACAACAGCUUAGGAUGUGCUCCAAGGUUCCUCUCCUCUGGCAGAGGGGGCACCCUGGUGUCUCCACCUUUCCCCAGGUGAAGAGGUUGGAUGGACUUGGCAGCACAUCGUAGACCGCCUGGAUCAAGAACUUUAUUCGAUGGGGUUCAGCUUUCCAGAGCUCGGUCCAUGUGACCUUACGCUCUGAUGCUUGUUCCCAUCUCGUCCAGGCGCCCUGUUGCCGCAUUCCUGCCAUCUGGCAGGCUCGCCUUUCCUCAACUGCUGCUCGCACUUCCUCGAGGAUCAGUGACCUCUUCUCUUUCCCCUGCGCCUUAUCAUAGCGAGGUGUUCUUCUGCUACCUAAGCCAGAUCUCCCCUGCGCCACUGCUCCCACCAAAACCUUUUGCCGUAGCCUUGCCUCUGCAACAUCCACAGCCUCGACAGCUCUCCACUUCCGCCCCGUCCUGACUUUAAUCCCAGCCUGUGCAACCUUUGGGUCACUGGACUCCCGGUACUGUAGGAGCUCCCUGGACCGUGUCACCAUGAACUCCUCGCUCAGGCUGCUGAUGGGGAGCUUCAGUUUGUUGUUAUGCCCGUAUAGAGCAAUGCUGCUCAGGCUUCGCGGCAGUCCUAGCCACCUGCGCAGGAACCUACUGACCCUCAUCUCAAAGCCUUCCACCGUUGAAAUGGGGACUUCGUACACCAUGAGGGGCCAGAGGAUCCGAGGGAGAAUCCCGUGCUGGUAAAUCCAGGCCUUGAACUUGCCAGGAAGGCCAGACUUAUCCACCAUGGUCAGCCAGGUCUCCAGGUCUUGGUUGGUUGAUCUUGUGGAGGCUGCGUCUCUCAGGCUGCAAUUAAACACCUUUCCCAAGCUCUUCACAGGUUCCUCGCACUAGGGCCCUCGACUUCAUGCGAGCCCAGGAAAUCACCUCCUGAAGGCCAUUCAAGAUCCACCUGCAACCUGUGACUGAUGUAGUGGUCACUGUCAGGUCGUCCAUGAAGGCUCGGAUGGGUGGCUGCCGGACUCCAGACCUGGAGAGGGGACCUCUGCACUGAACUUCCGCAGACUUCACCAGCAUGUUCAUGGCGAGCGCAAAGAGGAUGACUGAGAUCGUACAGCCAGUGAUAAAGUUUGCAACUUUUGGUCGCUAACAAAAAAGCCUUGCCUUUACCGGAAGUCGUAGACGAUGACGUCACAUGUUGAUGGCUCCUCACAUCUUCACAUUGUUUUUAAUGGGAGCGUCACACAAAAAGAGCUAUUCGGACCGAGGAAACGACAAUUUCCCCAUCAAUUUGAGCGAGGAUGAAAGAUUCGUGUUUGAGGAUAUUGAUAGCGACGGACUAGAAAAAAAAAAAGUUUAAAAAAAAACGCGAUUGCAUUGGGAAAAAUUCAGAUGUUUUUGGACACAUUUACUAGGAUAAUUCUGGGAAAUCCCUUAUCUUUCUAUUAUGUUGCUAGUGUUUUAGUGAGUUUAACAGUACCUGAUAUUCGGAGGUGUGUGUGUCCACGGGUGUCUUGACGCCAGUGUCUCAGGGAAGUCGGCGGCAGCUUUAUGGACGGCGCAAGCUCAGUUGAUCUCAGCUGAUCUCCGGUAAAAUGUGACUUUUUACCACGUUUUCCUCACCGAAAGCUGCUGGUUGACAUUCGGUCGGGAUCCAUGUUGCUUGACCGCUGUGAUCCAUAGUAAAGUUUCACCUCUGGGAAAUUUAAACAAGGAAUCACCAUGUGUUUGUGUGGCUAAAGGCUAAAGCUUCCCAACUCCCUCUUUCUACUUUGACUUUUCCAAUAUUGAUUGAAACAAUUGCAAAAGAUUCAGCAACACAGAUCUCCAAAAUACUGUGUAGUUAUGCGAUUAAAGCAGACGAUUUUUAGCUGUGUGUGCAGCGCUCAUAUUUCCUAACAGUCCGUGACGUCACGCGUACACGUCAUCAUUACGCAACGUUUUCAAGAAGAAACUCCCGGGAAAUUUAAAAUUGCAAUUUAGUAAACUAAAAAGGCCAUAUUGACAUGUGUUGCAAUGUUGAUAUUUCAUCAUUGAUAUAUAAACUCAGACUGCGUGGUGGGUAGUAGUGGGUUUCAGUAGGCCUUUAAGCUCUCUAUAGCUCUCUCCAUAUAUAGAGUUAUAGAUUUAUAAUUGACUUAUUUUUGACAGUCCUAAUUUACCAUUUAAAAAAAAAAAUAAAAAAAAAAAAUCAAGGAACUUGCUAAGAAUCUUGACCG